GUCACAAUGGUUUUACAUCCUAACCUAUGAUGCAAUGGACCUAACCUAGUCUGCAAUGUUUGUCAAUACUCAAUACAGCUUCCUACAAACUAUUCUGUAAUCGAUCACAAAGGUUUUUACGUGCUAACCUAUGACGCAAUGGACCUAA